rnacentral:rRNA from 1 species
GACGAACGCUGGCGGCGUGCUUAACACAUGCAAGUCGAACGGAAAGGCCCUGCUUUUGUGGGGUGCUCGAGUGGCGAACGGGUGAGUAACACGUGAGUAACCUGCCCUUGACUUUGGGAUAACUUCAGGAAACUGGGGCUAAUACCGGAUAGGAGCUCCUGCUGCAUGGUGGGGGUUGGAAAGUUUCGGCGGUUGGGGAUGGACUCGCGGCUUAUCAGCUUGUUGGUGGGGUAGUGGCUUACCAAGGCUUUGACGGGUAGCCGGCAUGAGAGGGUGACCGGCCACAUUGGGACUGAGAUACGGACCAGAAUCCAACGGGAGGCAGGAGGGGGGAAUAUUGCACAAUGGGCGGAAGCCUGAUGCAGCAACGCCGCGUGCGGGAUGACGGCCUACGGGUUGUAAACCGCUUUCGCAUGUGACGAAGCGUGAGUGACGGUAAUGGGUAAAGAAGCACCGGCUAACUACGUG